CGCAGACAAACGCAGGGUUUGUAGAGGUCGCCGGCAACGGUGGCAGCCCGAACGGGUGGGAUCCUCGAACUUGGGGUCUGCAAACAG
rnacentral:ncRNA from 1 species